AGUGAACGCUGGCGGUAGGCCUAACACAUGCCAGUCGAACGGCAGCACAGUAAGAGCUUGCUCUUACGGGUGGCGAGUGGCGGACGGGUGAGGAAUACAUCGGAAUCUACUUUUUCGUGGGGGAUAACGUAGGGACACUUACGCUAAUACCGCAUACGACCUACGGGUGAAAGCAGGGGAUCUUCGGACCUUGCGCGAUUCAAUGAGCCGAUGUCGGAUUAGCUAGUUGGCGGGGUAAAGGCCCACCAAGGCGACGAUCCGUAGCUGGUCUGAGAGGAUGAUCAGCCACACUGGAACUGAGACACGGUCCAGACUCCUACGGGAGGCAGCAGUGGGGAAUAUUGGACAAUGGGCGCAAGCCUGAUCCAGCCAUACCGCGUGGGUGAAGAAGGCCUUCGGGUUGUAAAGCCCUUUUGUUGGGAAAGAAAAGCAGCAGGUUAAUACCCCGCUGUUCUGACGGUACCCAAAGAAUAAGCACCGGCUAACUUCGUG
rnacentral:rRNA from 1 species